UUGCGCAAUGGGGGCAACCCUGACGCAGCAACGCCGCGUGAGUGAGGAAGGUUUUCGGACCGUAAAGCUCUGUCGAGCGGGAAGAAAUGCAUGGUGGCUAAUAUCCAUCAUGCUUGACGGUACCGCUAAAGGAAGCACCGGCUAACUCCGUGCCAGCAGCCGCGGUAAUACGGGGGGUGCGAGCGUUGUUCGGAAUUAUUGGGCGUAAAGAGCGUGUAGGCGGCCGAAUAAGUCAGAUGUGAAAUCCCUGGGCUUAACCCAGGAGUGGCAUGUGAAACUAUUCGGCUGGAGUAGGGGAGAGGAAAGUGGAAUUCCUGGUGUAGAGGUGAAAUUCGUAGAUAUCAGGAGGAACACCGGUGGCGAAGGCGACUUUCUGGCCCUAUACUGACGCUGAGACGCGAGAGCGUGGGUAGCAAACAG
rnacentral:rRNA from 1 species